CAUGUAGGCGGUUGUUUAAGUCUGAUGUGAAAGCCCUGGGCUCAACCCAGGAAGUGCAUUGGAUACUGGACAACUUGAGUACGGGAGAGGAAAGUGGAAUUUCGAGUGUAGGGGUGAAAUCCGUAGAUAUUCGAAGGAACACCAGUGGCGAAGGCGGCUUUCUGGACCGAUACUGACGCUGAGAUGCGAAAGCGGUGGGGAGCAAACA
rnacentral:rRNA from 1 species